CCUACGGGAGGCUGCAGUAGGGAAUAUUGCUCAAUGGGGGAAACCCUGAAGCAGCAAUGCCGCGUGGAGGAUGAAGGUUUUCGGAUUGUAAACUCCUUUUGUUAGAGAAGAUAAUUACGGUAUCUAACGAAUAAGCACCGGCUAACUCCGUGCCAGCAGCCGCGGUAAUACGGAGGGUGCAAGCGUUACUCGGAAUCACUGGGCGUAAGGAGCGCGUAGGCGGGAUAGCAAGUCAGAUGUGAAAGCCUAUGGCUUAACCAUAGAACUGCAUUUGAAACUGUUAUUCUAGAGUAUGGGAGAGGUAGGUGGAAUUCUUGGUGUAGGGGUAAAAUCCGUAGAGAUCAAGAGGAAUACUCAUUGCGAAGGCGACCUGCUAGAACAUAACUGACGCUGAUGCGCGAAAGCGUGGGGAGCAAACAGGAUUAGAUACCCGAGUAGUC
rnacentral:rRNA from 1 species